rnacentral:rRNA from 1 species
AAAAGCAGGGGAUCGUAAGACCUUGUGCUUUUGGAGUGGCCGAUGCCUGAUUAGCUAGUUGGUAGGGUAAUGGCCUACCAAGGCGACGAUCAGUAGUUGGUCUGAGAGGACGACCAGCCACACUGGGACUGAGACACGGCCCAGACUCCUACGGGAGGCAGCAGUGGGGAAUUUUGGACAAUGGGCGCAAGCCUGAUCCAGCAAUGCCGCGUGAGUGAAGAAGGCCUUCGGGUUGUAAAGCUCUUUCAGUUGAGAAGAAAAGGUUGUGACUAAUAAUCACAACUCAUGACGGUAUCGACAGAAGAAGCACCGGCUAACUACGUGCCAGCAGCCGCGGUAAUACGUAGGGUGCGAGCGUUAAUCGGAAUUACUGGGCGUAAAGGGUGCGCAGGCGGCUUUGUAAGUCAGAUGUGAAAUCCCCGGGCUUAACCUGGGAAUUGCGUUUGAAACUACAAGGC